rnacentral:lncRNA from 1 species
AAAAAAUGAAAAAAAUACAAAUUAUCGGGUGGCAACACUAUUAGUAGAAUCUUAUGGGAACAUCCCUCAAAUACAUGUACACAAGCCUACUGGGGUUCGACUUCGCUUCGAAAUACUUUCAACUAGACGACAUAUAGGUUUUGUAGAACGCGGUUGUAUAGAAAGUGGACACCAAUACCCUAUACAAUCAUCAUCGGAAGAACAUAUACGAAUAGGACCAGCUGUGAUAAAAAAAAAUUGAGUAAAUUAUUUUGGUAAAAUGAGACGAAAUAUAAUAUAGAAAGUAACUAAAAAAACUUGUAUAGGAUACAAAAUGCGUACCAUCAACAUCCAUUGCAACAACUAAAAGCGAAAUAAAGAUAAUAAUAGCAUAAUCAAAC